CACAAGGCCCUUUUCAGGGCCACCAUGCUGCCUCAGCCUGACUUAA
rfam:Operophtera brumata OBRT01_Sc00264, whole genome shotgun sequence.